AGCGUGACGCCGCAGCUCUUAAACGACCUUCGACGCACCAAAUGACACCCCAUCGACAACAUGUGGCCGGCCGCAUCGCUCCUCCCCAACCCCCCGACUCCGCAACCCCGUCCCCGACUCUCCGGCGGGUCCCGACACCGCACCAGCGAACGCCGUCGAUGCCCUACGCUUACCGUGCUUUCCUCCUCCUCUUCCUCUUCCUCUAGCGACGCAAAGGAGGACCUGGUCACUGCCGCCGGGCGUCUCCUUUGGGGCCGCGGCCUCCCCCCUCAGGCCCUCGUCUCUGCCGUCCGAUCCGGAUGGUCUGCCGCGUGGCACCUAAUGAUGCGCCAACUCGCUCCCUCCUCCUCCUCCGCCGCCUCCCCACCUGGCUCCUACGCCCGUCCCACUUCCUCCUUUCCCUCGGUCCCCGCCUCGUACUGCCGGAACCCCAUGAACCUCCACCUCUACGUCGCCCUCCCUUGCCCCUGGGCGCACCGCGUCCUCGUCGUCCGCGCGCUUAAGGGCCUCCGCUCCGCGCUCCCCGUUUCCAUCGCGGCCCCCGGCCUCGAUGGCUCCUGGCUGUUCCGCCCCCGUGGACCCUCCGCCGUCGGCGAAGAUCUGAGACCCGGGCCCGACCGCGCCAAUGCGCGGAGUACGCUGAGGGAGGUGUACGGGCUCCGGAGGGGCGGCUACGACGGGAGGUCGACGGUGCCAAUGCUUUGGGACGCGGAGAGGAAGGAAGUGGUGUGCAACGAGAGCUACGCGAUCAUCGAGUUCUUGAACUCCGCUGACUUCGGUGGUGAGGUUCAUGGUGGCUCAGGGUUGGACCUCUGCCCGUCGGAGCUCAAAAACGAGAUCGACGACUGGAAUCGGGUGAUCUAUCCCAACGUUAACAAUGGGGUUUAUAGAUGCGGGUUUGCGCAGAGCCAAGAAGCAUAUGACACUGCAGUCAAUGGAUUGUUCAACACAUUGGAUAUGAUAGAAUCUCAUCUGUCUACCUCUCGCUACUUGUGUGGGGAUGCAUUGACUUUAGCUGAUGUCUGCCUAUUUACUACUUUGAUCCGUUUCGACCUUGUGUACAACGUCCUCUUCAAGUGCACAAAGAAGAAGCUACUUGAGUACCCCAAUCUUUAUGGCUAUACAUGUGAUAUGUAUCAGAUUCCAGAGGUUGUGAGUACUUGCAAUUUUGAGGCUAUCAUGGAUGGUUACUACUGUACUCUAUUUCCUCUGAAUCCUGGUGGGAUCCUGCCAGUCAUGCCUUCAGCUUGCAAUCAUGAUUUGCUUUCUAAACCGCAUAAUAGAGAAGCAUUAUCUUCGAGUGGCAAACAAAGCAUACAUGCUUCAGAAACCUAACAGUCAACUGCUUGUCUCAGAAAAACAAAUCAUUCAAAAUGUUCCAGCUGCUUUCCCAGCAUAGCAAGUACUGACAUAUUAAAGAAAACUAUGACGCAGUGGCACUACUAAUGCAGGAAAAUCAUACAAAUGUGCAUUGUGUGGAAAGAGUAAGAUUCGGAAGCAAGCUUAUGAAUGCUGAUCGAGGAAUUAUCUACGGCAAAAGGCUUUUAGUGGUUCUGAGAGGCAUAAUUUGUCAAUCGUGUGAUAAAUGGUGAUAGCAAAAUGCCCCUCUAAACACAGUUCUCAGCAUAAGGAGAUCCAAAUUAACUUACAUUCAGAUUCAAAGUUGGCUAGCUACAAGGUACCGCAGGAAGAACGAUACUGGAAGAAGAUCUUGUUGGUUAUUGUUGUAAAAUAAAAUGUAACCAUGAUGAUGGUGUUCUCAAAACAUUUCUGUUGAUUUUGAGAAAUUCUAGAUAGUGAUUGUUAAUUUAUCUAUAUCUUCGUUC